UACGUAGGGGGCAAGCGUUGUCCGGAUUUAUUGGGCGUAAAGAGCGUGUAGGCGGCCAUGUAGGUCCGUUGUGAAAACUCGAGGCUCAACCUCGAGACGCCGAUGGAAACCAUGUGGCUAGAGUCCGGAAGAGGAGAGUGGAAUUCCUGGUGUAGCGGUGAAAUGCGCAGAUAUCAGGAGGAACACCGGUGGCGAAGGCGGUUCUCUGGGCAUGAUCUGACGCUGAGGAGCGAAAGUGUGGGGAGCGAACAGG
rnacentral:rRNA from 1 species